AACGCUGGCGGCGAUGCCUAACACAUGCAAGUCGAGCGAGAAAGCCCUGCAACGGGUGAGUAAAUGCGG
rnacentral:rRNA from 1 species